rnacentral:rRNA from 1 species
GACGAACGCUGGCGGCGUGCUUAACACAUGCAAGUCGAACGGAAAGGCCCUGCUUUUGUGGGGUGCUCGAGUGGCGAAAGGGUGAGUAACACGUGAGUAACCUGCCCUUGACUUUGGGAUAACUUCAGGAAACAGGGGCUAAUACCGGAUAGGAGCUCCUGCUGCAUGGGGGGGGUGGGAAAGUUUCGGCGGUGGGGGAUGGACUCGCGGCUUAUCAGCUUGUUGGUGGGGUAGUGGCUUACCCAGGCGCUGACGGGUAGCCGGCCUGAGAGGGUGACCCGCCACAUUGGCCCUGGGGUACGGCCCAGACUCCUACGGCAGGCAGCGGUGGAAAAUAUUGCACACUGGGCGGAAGCCUGAUGCAGCAACGCCGCGUGCGGGAUGACGGCCUUCGGGUUGUAACCCGCUUUCGCCUGUGACGAAGCGUGAGUGACGGUAAUGGGUAAAGAAGCACCGGCUAACUACGUG